rnacentral:rRNA from 1 species
UACGUAGGGUGCGAGCGUUGUCCGGAAUUAUUGGGCGUAAAGGGCUUGUAGGCGGUUUGUCGCGUCUGCUGUGAAAAUCCGGGGCUCAACCCCGGACUUGCAGUGGGUACGGGCAGACUGGAGUGUGGUAGGGGAGACUGGAAUUCCUGGUGUAGCGGUGGAAUGCGCAGAUAUCAGGAGGAACACCGAUGGCGAAGGCAGGUCUCUGGGCCACUACUGACGCUGAGAAGCGAAAGCAUGGGGAGCGAAUGGG